rnacentral:rRNA from 1 species
AUUGAACGCUGGCGGCAGGCUUAACACAUGCAAGUCGAACGAGUGGCGGACGGGUGAGUAAUGCUUGGGAAUCUGGCUUAUGGAGGGGGAUAACUACGGGAAACUGUAGCUAAUACCGCGUACCAUAAGAUGAGCCCACAUGGGAUUAGGUAGUUGGUGAGGUAAAGGCUCACCAAGCCGACGAUCCCUAGCUGGUCUGAGAGGAUGACCAGCAACACUGGGACUGAGAAACGGCCCAGACUCCUACGGGAGGCAGCAGUGGGGAAUAUUGCGCAAUGGGGGCAACCUGACGCAGCCAUGCCGCGUGAGUGAAGAAGGCCUUCGGGUUGUAAAGUUCUUUCGGUAGCGAGGCGUUAACUACAGAAGAAGCACCGGCUAACUCCGUGCCAGCAGCCGCGGUAAUAC